rnacentral:tRNA from 1 species
CAUUAGCUCAGCUGGUAGAGCAUCUGACUUUUAAUCAGAGGGUCAGAGGUUCGAAUCCUCUAUGGCUCACUACUAG